rnacentral:rRNA from 1 species
AUUGGACAAUGGAGGCACUCUGAUCCAGCCAUGCCGCGUGAAGGAAGACGGCCUUAUGGGUUGUAAACUUCUUUUAUACAGGAAGAAACCUUUCCACGUGUGGAAAGUUGACGGUACUGUAAGAAUAAGGAUCGGCUAACUCCGUGCCAGCAGCCGCGGUAAUACGGAGGAUCCAAGCGUUAUCCGGAAUUAUUGGGUUUAAAGGGUCCGCAGGCUGUUUGUUAAGUCAGAGGUGAAAUCCUACCGCUCAACGGUAGAACUGCCUUUGAUACUGGCAAACUUGAGUUAUUGUGAAGUAGUUAGAAUGUGUAGUGUAGCGGUGAAAUGCAUAGAUAUUACACAGAAUACCGAUUGCGAAAGCAGAUUACUAACAAUAUACUGACGCUGAGGGACGAAAGCGUGGGUAGCGAACAGGAUUAGAUACCCUGGUAGUCCACGCCGUAAACGAUGGUCACUAGCUGUUCGAUGUACAUUGGUACGUUGAGUGGCUAAGCGAAAGUGAUAAGUGACCCACCUGGGGAGUACGCUCGCAAGAGUGAAACUCAAAGGAAUUGACGGGGGCCCGCACAAGCGGUGGAGCAUGUGGUUUAAUUCGAUGAUACGCGAGGAACCUUACCAGGACUUAAAUGUAAGUUGCAUGAUUCAGAAAUGAAUCUUUCUUCGGACUACUUACAAGGUGCUGCAUGGUUGUCGUCAGCUCGUGCCGUGAGGUGUCAGGUUAAGUCCUAUAACGAGCGCAACCCCUAUCGUUAGUUGCCAUCAAGUAAAGUUGGGAACUCUAGCGAAACUGCCGGUGCAAACCGAGAGGAAGGUGGGGAUGACGUCAAAUCAUCACGGCCCUUACGUUCUGGGCUACACACGUGCUACAAUGGUCGGUACAGAAAGCAGCCACUAUGCGAAUAGGAGCUAAUCUUUAAAACCGAUCUCAGUUCGGAUCGCAGUCUGCAACUCGACUGCGUGAAGCUGGAAUCGCUAGUAAUCGGAUAUCAGCCAUGAUCCGGUGAAUACGUUCCCGGGCCUUGUACACACCGCCCGUCAAGCCAUGGAAGCUGGGGGUACCUAAAGUCGGUGACCGAAAGGAGCUGCCUAGGGUAAAACUAGUGACUGGGGCUAAGUCGUAACAAGGUAGCCGUACCGGAAGGUGCGGCUGGAAUACCUCCUUUCU